rnacentral:tmRNA from 1 species
GGGGAUGUUUUGGGAUUCGACAGGCGUAGAUUCGCGCUGAUUGCGAUUCGUAGGUUACGUCUACGUAAAAACGUUAACAGUUUAAAUUAACUGCAAACGAAAACUCAUACGCUGUAGCUGCUUAAUUGCGCUCAGCUGCCAAUAGAUGACCGGCCCGUGGCCGUCUUGCGGUAUCAACCUUACGGGAUACGCUUGCUUAUCAGACCUGAAUAAGUAAGAAGAGAUCAUCAGGUUAGCCAGGACUUGUUUGCCCUGUUAUAUGGCGUUUGGUGCUGGUGAAAUUUAAGUAAUAUAACUAUGAUCGUAGAUAUUGGUGACGGAAUGCGUUUGGACAGGGGUUCAAUUCCCCUCAUCUCCA